rnacentral:piRNA from 1 species
UAAAAUACGUUGGUUGAAUAA